AAGGCGCUCUCCCGAGCAGA
rnacentral:misc_RNA from 1 species